CCUACGGGUGGCAGCAGUGGGGAAUUUUGCGCAAUGGGGGCAACCCUGACGCAGCAACGCCGCGUGAGUGAUGAAGGCCUUCGGGUCGUAAAGCUCUGUCAGAGGGGAAGAAAUGCAGGUGGUGAACAACCAUUCUGUUUGACGGUACCCUCAAAGGAAGCACCGGCUAACUCCGUGCCAGCAGCCGCGGUAAUACGGAGGGUGCGAGCGUUGUUCGGAAUUAUUGGGCGUAAAGCGCGUGUAGGCGGUUUGUUAAGUCGGAUGGAAAAGCCCCGGGCUCAACCUGGGAAGUGCAUUGGAGACUGGCAGGCUUGAGUACGGGAGAGGGGAGUGGAAUUCCCAGGGUAGGAGUGAAAUCCGUAGAUAUUGGGAGGAACACCGAUGGCGAAGGCGGCCCCCUGGACCGAUACUGACGCUGA
rnacentral:rRNA from 1 species